UUGAUACUGAUAAUCUUGAGUAUAUUUGAAGUGGGCGGAAUGUAGCAUGUAGCGGUGAAAUGCAUAGAUAUGCUACAGAACACCAAUUGCGAAGGCAGCUCACUAAACUAUAACUGACGCCCAUGCACGAAAGCGUGGGGAUCAAACAGGAUUAGAUACCCUGGUAGUCCACGCUGUAAACGAUGAUUACUCGUUGUUGGCGACACACAGUCAGCGACCAAGCGAAAGUGAUAAGUAAUCCACCUGGGGAGUACGAUCGCAAGGUUGAAACUCAAAGGAAUUGACGGGGGCCCGCACAAGCGGUGGAGCAUGUGGUUUAAUUCGAUGAUACGCGAGGAACCUUACCUGGGCUCAAAUGUAUGUUGACGUAUUCUGGAAGGGAUACUUCUUCGGACAAUAUACAAGGUGCUGCAUGGUUGUCGUCAGCUCGUGCCGUGAGGUGUCGGGUUAAGUCCCAUAACGAGCGCAA
rnacentral:rRNA from 1 species